UAAAACAGAUUACUGCAUUUAUGAUUAAUGCAUUUACAAAUUGACACGGCUGUCAGUACACAGUGCAUUAACCGACAUGACUAACUAUAAAUGUUUUAUACUAAACAUAUUUAUACACGUCAUCUUGAUUACAUAACAUUCAUCUAUCAAUAACUUUAUAUGCUUGUGUUCACCAAAGCUAUGUGGUUGUAUUCUGAAAUAUAAAUCUGUUCUGAUCCUAUUACACAGAAUAGUUUAAUGCAGCUGUUACACACAGUGAGUUAUUAAUGGAAAACACAAGCCAAAACACACAUGAUGAAGCAGGUACGAUGUAAUGCUGACACAGGAAUCAGACUGUCAUCCCACAACAUGAAAUAUGAUUUAGUGUCAGGUAUAUGUCACAAUAACCCGUUGACAGCAGACUCGCCUCCCAGAUGUGAUGUUUACACUGGUUUGCACAGAGAGACACACUCACGGACAGAAGGAGAAACCGUCGCUCUCUGGUGCUCUUCAGGACCCCCGCGUCUCAUAUUCAGCGCAAAAAUAUCAGUAAAAUUAUAUAUUGGUGCUGUGUGCGCCCCCGCCCACCUACCUGGAGAAUGAGGCUGCAGCGCUCGCGCCAGACACAGCGUCGCGUCAGACUGACGCUCUGCACUGCGCGUGCGCCGGAAAUAUGCCUGCUCAAGAACUACGAUGAAGAGUUCAUGAAUCCUACUACAGAAAAGGAGCUAAUUUAUAUAAGGGAAGCAGCAUUAGGUGAUGUGAGCCAUGCCUUGAUCCCAAGAUCUCACCAAAUGCACAACGAAUGCUCAAUAUUUGCCACAGGUUAACAUCUCCCUUCAUGAGUCAUCCAUAAGUAAACCUUUGAACAGGAAGUACACCAUGAAGGAAGCCACUACUCUCCAAAUGAAACAUUGCAGUAUGCCAGAGACCCCCUUGACACUCACAACAACAAUAUUGGGAAAAUGUCUUGUGGACAAACAGAAUUGUAUAAUUUAAAUAAAAUCACGUACCA